UACGUAGGGUGCAAGCGUUAAUCGGAAUUACUGGGCGUAAAGCGUGCGCAGGCGGUUAUAUAAGACAGUUGUGAAAUCCCCCGGGCUCAACCUGGGAACUGCAUCUGUGACUGUAUAGCUAGAGUACGGUAGAGGGGGAUGGAAUUCCGCGUGUAGCAGUGAAAUGCGUAGAUAUGCGGAGGAACACCGAUGGCGAAGGCAAUCCCCUGGACCUGUACUGACGCUCAUGCACGAAGACGUGG
rnacentral:rRNA from 1 species